CCCAGACUCCUACGGGAGGCAGCAGUGGGGGAUAUUGCACAAUGGGGGGAACCCUGAUGCAGCGACGCCGCGUGGGUGAAGGAGCGUUUCGGCGCGUAAAGCCCUAUCGGCAGGGAAGAAGGAGGACGGUACCUGACUAAGAAGCCCCGGCUAACUACGUGCCAGCAGCCGCGGUAAUACGUAGGGGGCAAGCGUUAUCCGGAUUUACUGGGUGUAAAGGGGGCGCAGACGGCAGCGCAAGCCAGGAGUGAAAGCCCGGGGCCCAACCCCGGGACUGCUCUUGGAACUGCGCGGCUGGAGUGCAGGAGGGGCAGGCGGAAUUCCUGGUGUAGCGGUGAAAUGCGUAGAUAUCAGGAGGAACACCGGUGGCGAAGGCGGCCUGCUGGACUGCGACUGACGUUGAGGCCCGAAAGCGUGGGGAGCAAACAGGAUUAGAUACCCUCGUAAC
rnacentral:rRNA from 1 species